rnacentral:ncRNA from 1 species
GAUAGAGGAUGCGGACGAGAUCAGUAUCCAGCAGCAACGCCGGCGAGCGGCUGCGGGAGAAAGGCGGAUCCGCCGAAGUAGUUUCACGGUUGCCGCCGUGAUUCCGCUGGGACUGCGCCGAACAGGCGUUGGACUGUCACAUGACUUAUGUGGAGCGCUAUC